rnacentral:rRNA from 1 species
GACGAACGCUGGCGGCGUGCUUAACACAUGCAAGUCGAACGGAAAGGCCCUGCUCUUGUGGGGUGGUCGUUUGGCGAACGGGUGAGUAACACGUGAGUAACCUGCCCUUGACUGUGUGAUAACUUUAGGAAACUGGGGCUAAUAUCGGAUAUGAUCUCUUGCGGCAUGGGGUGGGUUGGUAAGUUUCGGCGGUUGGGGAUGGACUCGCGGCUUAUCAGCUUGUUGGUGGGGUAGUGGCUUACCAAGGCUUUGACGGGUAGCCGGCCUGAGAGGGUGACCGGCCACAUUGGGACUGAGAUACGGCCCAGACUCCUACGGGAGGCAGCAGUGGGGAAUAUUGCACAAUGGGCGGAAGCCUGAUGCAGCAACGCCGCGUGCGGGAUGACGGCCUUCGGGUUGUAAACCGCUUUCGCCUGUGACGAAGCGUGAGUGACGGUAAUGGGUAAAGAAGCACCGGCUAACUACGUG